CAGCCUGCAACUCGGCUGCAUGAAGCUGGAAUCGCUAGUAAUCGCGAAUCAGAAUGUCGCGGUGAAUACGUUCCCGGGUCUUGUACACACCGCCCGUCACACCAUGGGAGUUGGAAAUGCCCGAAGUCAGUGACCCAACCGAAAGGAGGGAGCUGCCGAAGGCAGGUCUGAUAACUGGGGUGAAGUCGUAACAAGGUAAC
rnacentral:rRNA from 1 species